rnacentral:rRNA from 1 species
GACGAACGCUGGCGGCGUGCCUAACACAUGCAAGUCGAACGGAGUGUUUAUUUAUAAACACUUAGUGGCGAACGGGUGAGUAACGCGUAGACAACCUACCCUCUAGAUGGGGACAACACCGCGAAAGUGGUGCUAAUACCGAAUGUUGUAAUGUUAUUGCAUAAUGAUAUUACUAAAGGUGGCCUCUAUAUAAAAGCUACCGCUAGAAGAUGGGUCUGCGUCUGAUUAGCUAGUUGGUGAGAUAACAGCUCACCAAGGCAAUGAUCAGUAGCCGGUCUGAGAGGAUGAACGGCCACACUGGGACUGAGACACGGCCCAGACUCCUACGGGAGGCAGCAGUGGGGAAUCUUCCGCAAUGGACGAAAGUCUGACGGAGCAACGCCGCGUGAGUGAAGAAGGUUUUCGGAUCGUAAAGCUCUGUCUUCAAGGACGAAUGUAGAUAUUGUGAAUAAUGAUAUUUAAUGACGGUACUUGAGGAGGAAGCCACGGCUAA